UACGAAGGGGGCUAGCGUUGUUCGGAUUUACUGGGCGUAAAGCGCACGUAGGCGGAUUGUUAAGUCAGGGGUGAAAUCCUGGAGCUCAACUCCAGAACUGCCUUUGAUACUGAAGAUCUUGAGUUCGGGAGAGGUGAGUGGAACUGCGAGUGUAGAGGUGAAAUUCGUAGAUAUUCGCAAGAACACCAGUGGCGAAGGCGGCUCACUGGUCCGGUACUGACGCUGAGGUGCGAAAGCGUGGGGGAGCAAACAGG
rnacentral:rRNA from 1 species